GCUAUUGGUUUGGCAACGACUGCGGCAAUAAGAAGUGCUUUUCGUCAAAAAUUUAACUCCCACGAAGAAGUUUUUAUUUCCGUUUCAAAGAAGCACUUCCAAUAUGCACACGACCGG